rnacentral:lncRNA from 1 species
UGAGGUAGCAAGGAAGCAGACUGAAGAUUGAAGAUCUUGUCUCCUUAAGCAGUAGUGGAGUAGAUCGAAAGAGGCGAAUCUUAUCUCUAUGUAUCGGUAAUGGAGCAGAUUUAAGCCACCAGCCUUAUCUCUCUGAGGUAGUAAGAGAGUAGGUUGAAGAUUGAAGUCUUAUCUUCCAAGGUAGCAAGGAAGCAGACUGAAGAUUGAAGAUCGAAGCAGAC